rnacentral:rRNA from 1 species
UGGGGAAUCUUGCACAAUGGGGGAAACCCUGAUGCAGCGACGCCGCGUGAGUGAUGAAGCCCUUCGGGGUGUAAAGCUCUUUCGGCAGGGACGAUAAUGACGGUACCUGCAGAAGAAGCUGCGGCUAACUACGUGCCAGCAGCCGCGGUAAUACGUAGGCAGCAAGCGUUGUUCGGAAUUACUGGGCGUAAAGAGUGCGUAGGCGGUUUGGCAAGUUUGGUGUGAAAUCUCCUGGCUUAACUGGGAGGGUGCGCCGAAAACUGUCAGGCUAGAGUGUGGGAGAGGAAAGCGGAAUUCCUGGUGUAGCGGUGAAAUGCGUAGAUAUCAGGAGGAACAUCUGCGGUGUAGACGGCUUUCUGGACCACUACUGACGCUGAGGCACGAAAGCGUGGGGAGCAAACAGGAUUAGAUACCCUGGUAGUCCACGCCCUAAACGAUGCGGACUUGGUGUUGGCCCUUCAUUGGGUCAGUGCCGCAGUUAACGCGGUAAGUCCGCCGCCUGGGGAGUACGGUCGC